UGCUGUAUAUAAAGGGUGAAGGUGACCCAGCCAUUGGUGUCGCUCUCAUGUUCAUCCACAACACGCUUCACUGCUGUGGAUUGACGGGGGUCCCGAUAAUAGAGGUGGCCAAACACACCUGCCCUGAUCCAGGGAGCUUCUCUGAGAUGUUCAUCAUGCCUACAUGUCCCGGGGUCAUCAGUGAAGUCUUUGACAGCAGAGCACCACUGGUGAUGGGGUUGUUCCUUGGAACUGCAGCUCUGCUGGUAGGCACAUGCACAUUCCUGUAGUU